rnacentral:rRNA from 1 species
GACGAACGCUGGCGGCGUGCUUAACACAUGCAAGUCGAACGAUGAAGCCCAGCUUGCUGGGUGGAAGAGUGGCGAACGGGUGAGUAACACGUGAGUAACCUGCCCUUGACUCUGGGAUAAGCGCUGGAAACGGCGUCUAAUACUGGAUACGACCUAUCACCGCAUGGUGUGUGGGUGGAAAGAUUUAUCGGUUUUGGAUGGACUCGCGGCCUAUCAGCUUGUUGGUGAGGGAAUGGCUCACCAAUGCGACGACGGGUAGCCGGCCUGAGAGGGUGACCGGCCACACUGGGACUGAGACACGGCCCAGACUCCUACGGGAGGCAGCAGUGGGGAAUAUUGCACAAUGGGCGCAAGCCUGAUGCAGCAACGCCGCGUGAGGGAUGACUGCCUUCGGGUUGUAAACCUCUUUUAGUAGGGAAGAAGCGAAAGUGACGGUACCUGCAGAAAAAGCACCGGCUAACUACGUGCCAGCAGCCGCCGUAA